UUUCCGUAGGUGAACCUGCGGAAGGAUCAUUAACACGAAUUAUUUAUUAUCCAAUAUCAAAAACCAAACGUGAACCUUUUCCCUCCCUAUAUAUAUAUAUAGGCUAACCUCAUUUAAUUAAUUUUUAACACUUUAAACCUUAACUAGUUUUAAUGUAGCCAUUAAGACAUCUAAACUAAAAAAGACAAGGUUAUUCGAAAGAGUAAACUUUAACUUUUUUCGAUUUACGAAAAAUUUAAAAGAACAACUCUUAACAAUGGAUAUCUUGGUUCUC
rnacentral:misc_RNA from 1 species